GAUGAACGCUGGCGGCGUGCCUAAUACAUGCAAGUCGAGCGAACAGACGCGGAGCUUGCUCCUUUCUCGUUAGCGGCGGACGGGUGUGUAACAUGUGGAUAAUCUACUUAUCAGACUGGGAUCAUUUCGGGAAACCGGCGCUAAUACGGGAUAAUAUACUGAACCGCAUGGUUCAAUAGUGAAAGACGGCUUUGCUGUCUCUUCUAGCUGGUUCCGGGCCGCUUUAGCUAGUUGGUAAGGUAACGGCUUAUCAAGGCAACCAUGCGUGGGCGACGUGACAGGGGGAUCGGCCGCACUGGAGCUGAGACACGGUCCAGACUACUACGGGAGGCAGCAGUAGGGAAUCGUACGCAAUAGGCGAGAGCAUGACGGAACAGCGCCGAGUGAGAGAUGAAGGUCUUCGGAGCGGAAAACUCUGUUAUUAGUGAAAAACAAAUGUGUAAGUAGCUGUGGACGUCUUGACGGUAACUGAUAAGGAAGCCACGGCUAACUACGUG
rnacentral:rRNA from 1 species